AACGCACAUUGCGCCCGCUAGUAUUCUGGCGGGCAUGCCUGUUCGAGCGUCAUUUCAACCCUCGAGCCCCUCCGGGCUUGGUGUUGGGGAUCGGCUGCCGUCUCCGGCCGGCCGACCCCGAAAUACAGUGGCGGUCCCGCCGCAGCGUCCUCUGCGUAGUAGCACACACCUCGCACUGGAACGCGGCGCGGCCACGCCGUAAAGCAAAGGGGCGCACGCCUCUUUCUCUUUCAAGGUUGACCUCGGAUCAGGUAGGAAUACCCGCUGAACUUAA
rnacentral:misc_RNA from 1 species